CUCUGCCUGCCUCUCUAGUGCUCAAGCUCUUUCCAGCUUCCUGCUUUUCCGUUUUUGUUCUUUUGAGCAAUCAUAACACACAGUGGACAUAAUGCAUUUCCAAGUGGCGCAGGUCAUUGUGUGUUUCUUGUGUUUAUCCAUCUGCCCUUCAGUCACUUAGCUUUCAAUUGGCUCUUGAAUUUGGUGUUUGGUUCUGUUCAAGGCUGCUGCAGUGGCUCUGCCAGAGGAGGAGCUGAAAAGGUCAGGCUGCCCAGAGGAGAGAAGACAGACCUUGGUGUCAGACUUCCCACCACCUGCAGGCCGUGAGCUCAUCCUGAGGGCCACUGUGCCACGGCCUGCCCCCUACUCCAAAGCCCUGCCCCAGCGCAUGUACAGCGUGCUCACCAAGGAGGACUUCAGACUUGCAGGUGCCUUUUCCUCAGACACCUCCUUCUUCUAGGGCAGGAUGAGAGGCAGCUCCUGCCAUGGACACCUGAGACGACCUUGUCGAACCAGCAGCAGGAGUCCCACCAGCAUCCAGAGUCAUCUCUAGUUACCAAGCUUGAGCCGGACGGAUAGUUCUGAGGUGUCACAGACUUCCACCUGCGGGAGGUGGCCUGUAUUGGGGGAACCACGCGUCAGCAGGCCUCUCACCUUGGGGGACAAUUUGUUCAUUCUCCUGUGACAGUCAUCUGUGUAAGCACUUAGUGGCUAUCUUUAUUAGUAUUGCAUAUGCAAGAUAGAGUAUCUGUUAACUCACCUUCUGGAUAUUUGGUGUAGAGCCUUUUAGUCCCAGAGUCUGUUUUUAAACUGCCAUGUGACAUUCCGUUUCUUCAGUCACCGGGUGAUCAGCUGUUUGAUGAACAUUUGAAUAUUCUGGGAGAAAGUCUAGAAUUUCAGUUUUGUUUUUCCAUGUCACUAACCAGAUGUAGUUCUUCUGAUCAAUCUGUACAUGAAAUGUGGCUGCAGAUUAGCCCUCUCUCUGUGUGUCUGUCUGUCUUAUAGGAUCUCUUGGUUGCACCCCUGCCUUUGCACUUUACUUCUCUGCAUUGCUGGCUAGGGAUGGUAUUUAGUGACGUCACAGGAGCACAUGUUGAACACACAUCCUGGGAACAUAGCUCACCGUGCAGGCAGAGAGUGGUGUGUGCUGAGCCUCCGAGCCAAGCCUGUGAGUGGGCAGACUGGACGGCUGCUUUGUGUCUGUCCAGUUGGGGCUGAAGCACCUAGUGCAGGGUGACGGCACUGUCCUUGUGCAGUUCAGAGUGCAUUCAGUUGUUGCUGCAGGACCUCUCUUUGGUGAUUGUAAAUUAUUUUGGGACCUAAAAUUCCCACUUUAAUCCAAAGUAAAAAACGGUUAUGCUAAAGUGUAAAUUCUGCCUGUGUGAUUUUUAAAAAUUAAUAGAACUGC
rnacentral:lncRNA from 1 species